UACGUAGGUGGCAAGCGUUGUUCGGAAUUAUUGGGCGUAAAGGGCGCGUAGGCGGUUUGUUAAGUCGGCUGUGAAAGCCUGGGGCUCAACCCCAGAGGGUCGGCCGAUACUGGCAAACUAGAGUACGGUAGAGGGGGGAUGGAAUUCCGCGUGUAGCAGUGAAAUGCGUAGAUAUGCGGAGGAACACCGAUGGCGAAGGCAAUCCCCUGGACCUGUACUGACGCUCAUGCACGAAAAGCGUGGGGGAGCAAACAGG
rnacentral:rRNA from 1 species